rnacentral:rRNA from 1 species
CUGGCGGCAUGCCUAACACAUGCAAGUCGAACGAGAAAGUUCCUUCGGGAGCGAUUAAAGUGGCGCACGGGUGAGUAACGCGUAGACAAUCUGCCCUUCAGUCUGGGACAACUUUUCGAAAGGAGAGCUAAUACCGGAUGACAAUGUAACACAUAAGUGUCACAUUUGAAAGCUCCGGCGCUGAAGGAGGGGUCUGCGUCCCAUUAGCUAGUUGGUAAGGUAAAGGCUUACCAAGGCGACGAUGGGUAGCGGGUUUGAGAGGACGAUCCGCCACACUGGAACUGAGACACGGUCCAGACUCCUACGGGAGGCAGCAGUGGGGAAUAUUGCACAAUGGAGGCAACUCUGAUGCAGCAAUGUCGCGUGAGUGAAGAAGGCCCUUGGGUCGUAAAGCUCUUUUAUGGGGGAAGAUGAUGACGGUACCCCAAGAAUAAGCACCGGCUAACUACGUGCCAGCAGCCGCGGUAAUACGUAGGGUGCGAGCGUUGUUCGGAAUUACUGGGCGUAAAGGGCGCGCAGGCGGAAUAGCAAGUCGGAGGUGAAAGCCCGGGGCUCAACCCCGGAGGGUCUUUCGAAACUGCUAAUCUAGAGAGGGUCAGGGGCCAGCAGAAUUCUUGGUGUAGAGGUGAAAUUCGUAGAUAUCAAGAGGAAUACCGGUGGCGAAAGCGGCUGGCUGGGGCCACUCUGACGCUGAGGCGCGAAAGCGUGGGGAGCAAACAGGAUUAGAUACCCUGGUAGUCCACGCCGUAAACGAUGAGCACUGGAUGUCCGGAGGGUUCGACCCUUCUGGGUGUCUCAGCUAACGCAUUAAGUGCUCCGCCUGGGGAGUACGGU